UACAGAGGGUGCAAACGUUGUUCGGAAUCACUGGGCAUAAAGCGUAUGUAGGCGGCUUCGUAAGUGUCGGAUGAAAUCCCACGGCCUACCCGUGGAACUGUUCGGCAUACUGCGGAGCUAGAGGAUGGUAGAGGAGAGCGGAACUCUUGGUGGAGCGGUGAAAUGCGUAGAUAUCGUUUGGAACGCCAAUGGUGAAAACAGGUAGCUGGGAGUGUGCCGACGCUGAGACACGAAAGCCAGGGGAGCGAACGGG
rnacentral:rRNA from 1 species